rnacentral:rRNA from 1 species
AACCGAGAUUCCCCCAGUAGCGGCGAGCGAACGGGGAGCAGCCCAGAGCCUGAAUCAGUGUGUGUGUUAGUGGAAGCGUCUGGAAAGGCGCGCGAUACAGGGUGACAGCCCCGUACACAAAAAUGCACAUGCUGUGAGCUCGAUGAGUAGGGCGGGACACGUGGUAUCCUGUCUGAAUAUGGGGGGACCAUCCUCCAAGGCUAAAUACUCCUGACUGACCGAUAGUGAACCAGUACCGUGAGGGAAAGGCGAAAAGAACCCCGGCGAGGGGAGUGAAAAAGAACCUGAAACCGUGUACGUACAAGCAGUGGGAGCACGCUUAGGCGUGUGACUGCGUACCUUUUGUAUAAUGGGUCAGCGACUUAUAUUCUGUAGCAAGGUUAACCGAAUAGGGGAGCCGAAGGGAAACCGAGUCUUAACUGGGCGUUAAGUUGCAGGGUAUAGACCCGAAACCCGGUGAUCUAGCCAUGGGCAGGUUGAAGGUUGGGUAACACUAACUGGAGGACCGAACCGACUAAUGUUGAAAAAUUAGCGGAUGACUUGUGGCUGGGGGUGAAAGGCCAAUCAAACCGGGAGAUAGCUGGUUCUCCCCGAAAGCUAUUUAGGUAGCGCCUCGUGAAUUCAUCUCCGGGGGUAGAGCACUGUUUCGGCAAGGGGGUCAUCCCGA